AGGGGAUUCUUUAGCGUGCAGAGGAGGAGGAAGAAGGAGCACGAGCUCGUGCUAGUGGCUGGGGCGCUCGGCCAGGUGAGUUGGGCCGGCCUAGUUGGAUCGGUACAUUCUUUUUUUUUUCCAUUUCUGUUUUUAUUAAUAACUUUUGAUUCCUAACUCCAAAUAUGUCCAAAUAAACUCCAGAAAAUUUGUAAAUUCAAAUCUUCCAAAGUGUGAGUUUUUGGGACUUGAAUUCUUUCAAAAUAAAAUAAGUAAAAAUACUUUUGCUUAUAUAAAUGUCAUU
rnacentral:lncRNA from 1 species